AUUGAACGCUGGCGGCAUGCUUUACACAUGCAAGUCGAACGGUAACAGGCCGCAAGGUGCUGACGAGUGGCGAACGGGUGAGUAAUGCAUCGGAACGUGCCCAGUCGUGGGGGAUAACUACUCGAAAGAGUAGCUAAUACCGCAUACGAUCUACGGAUGAAAGCGGGGGACCGUAAGGCCUCGCGCGAUUGGAGCGGCCGAUGUCAGAUUAGGUAGUUGGUGGGGUAAAGGCUCACCAAGCACACGAUCUGUAGCUGGUCUGAGAGGACGACCAGCCACACUGGGACUGAGACACGGCCCAGACUCCUACGGGAGGCAGCAGUGGGGAAUUUUGGACAAUGGGCGCAAGCCUGAUCCAGCAAUGCCGCGUGCAGGAAGAAGGCCUUCGGGUUGUAAACUGCUUUUGUACGGAACGAAACGGCUCUGGUUAAUACCCGGGGCUAAUGACGGUACCGGAAGAAUAAGCACCGGCUAACUACGUG
rnacentral:rRNA from 1 species